CUUAACUUCUGACGACUGAGGCGGAAGCCAACAUGCUCUUUGGAGGCUCGGCGACACACAACCCAGGGAGCAGGACUUUCCCCCAGCCAAGUCCCUUCGGCUCCAGGAUGGGCACAGGCUCAAGUCAUCUACACCAGGAACCCACCAGCCAAGACUGGAGGAGCACUCACUGCUCAGGACUCGCAAGGGAUUGCUGGUUCGGCUCGGACCCCCUCCCUCUCCCUGCUCAGCCCCUAAGGCAGCAAGCGGGUCCCAAAGAUAAGAGCUAUCAAGUCUCAGGGCUUCCCUCAUGUAGUGCCACAGAAAAUGGCUAAAAUUGCAAGAUGCAAUCAAAGAGACCCCUACAGAACCCCUACAGAACACUCCUAGAGCAAACAGGGGAAACUGGAAGAUGGUUACUUAUACAUCUUCAAAAACCUCCGGACUCAGGAAACAGUGCCGAUUUGGGGAGCUCUUCAGGAUACUUCGGGACUAUUCGGUGUUUUAAUAUUAGCGCGUUUAAAGUUUGGACUGAAAUAUGUAUUUUGUUUUGGAAGGGGGAGGAAUAAGGGGAAGAUUCUUUGUUCUAAAUCGUGGGAAUUGUUAAGGUAUUUUAAUUCAAGAAAUUAAAUGGUUUAUUGAGCUACUGCGGUAUAUUUUUUCUUGAUACAUUUUACUGUAUAAGAAAAGAAAGUUACUUUGCAAUAACUCUAGACAGGUCCUGUCUUUCUCGCUACGCAAAGAUGUAAUUUUAAGGUGCGCAGGUGAUUUUUCUUUGUAUGACUGGAUUUGAAUUUGAUGUAACACAUAAAAAAUGCGCAUAUUAGCACUGAAUGUUAUACAAAGAUAAAUGCAUGUAUCUUUCACUAACAGAGGGCCGAAAUUCCCUCCUUCCCUAAUACCCCACAGAAGCCAAUGGGACUGCAAGGGUUUAAUUUGAGGGAAGAAUUUCCUCUAUAUUUGGUUAAAUAUUUGAAAGUUGAAAUGUAAUGUAUUUCUGGACAGUUUACAUUGUAUCGGAGUUCUCUCCACUCACGGAAAUGUUGUCAGUCUCGGUGUAAAAUAGCUAAUAUAAAUCUUUAUUGGGUCCGUUCUGGCAGAAACGCCUAAGAUUAUAAACGAUUUAUAAUUUCGGCAUAUUUUAGGGGGAAAUAAUUGGUGGGAAGAAUAUUCUACCGUCUUCAAAUUGGGGAAAGGAGAGAAUUGAAGAAAUUACUGAUAAAAUGUACAUUAAAGUAAUUACACUGAUGAGCAAGGAUGUGAGUUGCCUUAGAAAAUGAGUGCAUUAUCAAAUAUUGCAAACAAGCCUGUUUAAUCUGCAUUACCGUGUGUGUUAUCGAACACCAUAAAAUCGCAAUUGACACUUCAUUUUGUAUUUACUCAACACUCUGAUUAUUUACACAAGCAGAAAGGCUUUCGAAAUAUCCAUCUACACAACUGUUCUUGGUCUCCCACGUUUUAUAUUGGGACUUUUUUUUAUUUAUGAGUGUUUUAACUGGGUCAAAAAUGCACCAGAAUUGGGUCGUAAAUCAUCAGAAACGAUGACAAGCAAUACGUCUGCAAUUAAAGCUUACAUUUUAUUUUCACGACGCGUUUUUGGCCCGUUUAAAAUAUGGUUUGACCUGCUUUAGCUUUAAACACACUGUUGGGAGUGAAAUAGCCCUGCUUUAAUUGCGUAAGAAAAACACUAUGGCUAAUAAAGAGGAACAUGCUUCGUUAUGUGUGGGGGAACUGGCAUUUCUUUGGGUCAGUUCUAUUCGGAGUGUAUCUGUUGGCAGCUAAACCCAAAUUCUACAUUUCCGCUUUCUGGAACCGUGCAGAAUGGCCGCGAGUCGUUCUAAAUUAAACUCUGCCUUUGUGUUUCAGCAAAGAACGUUUUGUUUCUAAUAGUUCGAUUUUUUUUCCAUGACCCGCUCAUAAAUUGAGUAAUUACAACUGCCCAGUAAUUUGGGACAAAAUGACACAGCCGUAUCUAGGCGAGCACGCUGCCCCAACUCACUGGAAACAUAAAUCAAACCUCAGCACUCUGACCUUUCCCAAAGCUGGAACUCACUGGUGGAUGUAAUUUUAUAUAACAUUUGUCCCCUUGUAGAACACAAGGAAUCCCUUCAUUUUUGGGUUAUUUGAGGUGCAUUUCCCCCUACACAAUAUAUGUAGUUAUAUAGCGCAGGUUACGACAUAGUGGUAGAGAUAGGAAAUUUAGUGAUCACGUAAAUCCUUACAGAAAGGAGAUUGUCCCCUCCACCCUCGCUUUCCAGAUCCCUUAUUCAGAGUAAAACAAAUUUCCAGAGGCUGAUUUAUUGUUAGAAUCGGUGGAUGGACAUUUGUUCAUAGCCAGAUAAUUCUUAGCUAAAUCCAGGUUUGGUUUCACUAAAGAAAGAAAGGCAAUCCCUUCUCAACUGGAAUUGUUAACCUCGAUAUGGUAGAGAGCUAAUCCAGCCCUGCUCGCAUGGUAAACAAAGUACCACUAAGCAUCAUAAAUAAAAUGGCAGCACAAUUGCAUACUCAUCGAUUUUCGGAGCCGGAAUCGGCAAAAGAAGCACACAGCAAACAAAACAAUAACAACAGCCACAAAUCGAACCCCGACUCCAUUCCAUGGGUGUUUCUCAAUCUCCUGAAAUACUCUUGUAUACACAGAUAUGUAUGUAUUACAAGAAAAAUAAGAUUCUCCCAGUCUCCACUUGAUCGUAAAAGACAACAGUAAUGUAGCUUUAAAAGAGAUUUAACAGAGGGAGAUCCCCAUAAAAGAAACACAGAAUCUCUAGGGGGGG